rnacentral:sRNA from 1 species
GCUGGGUGCACUGAUGCGUGGCUGUAAUCCCAGUGGCUUGGGAGGCUGAGACAGGAGGAUCACAAGUUUAAGACCAGCCUUGGCAAAUUCGUGAGACCCUGUCUCAA